AAAAUUCGACCGUAGAAGGAGUAUGAAUUUCCGUCGCAACAGAUACAUCGGCCUUUGUCAGGGGCGGAUGUGUUGCCGAAAGUCGAAGGAGUGUAACUCCCGUUUGCAAGAGUCCGUCGGCCCUUGUGAAGGUCCGACGAGUCGUCGAAGGAGUGUCGACUCCUGUUAUUGUAGAUGCGUCGGUGCUCGCAAGAGUCCGAUGCAUUGUCGGUGCUAGGUCC
rnacentral:lncRNA from 1 species